rnacentral:rRNA from 1 species
CUCAGAAACUUAAAGGAAGUUGACGGGGGCCCGCACAAGAGGUGGAGCAUGUGGUUUAAUUCGAUGAUACGCGAGGAACCUUACCUGGGCUCAAAUGUAUGUUGACGUAUUCUGAAAGGGAUACUUCUUCGGACAAUAUACAAGGUGCUGCAUGGUUGUCGUCAGCUCGUGCCGUGAGGUGUCGGGUUAAGUCCCGUAACGAGCGCAACCCUUGUCCUUAGUUACCAGCACGUUAUGGUGGGCACUCUAAGGAGACUGCCGGUGACAAACCGGAGGAAGGUGGGGAUGACGUCAAGUCAUCAUGGCCCUUACGGCCUGGGCUACACACGUGCUACAAUGGUCGGUACAAAGGGUUGCCAAGCCGCGAGGUGGAGCUAAUCCCAUAAAACCGAUCGUAGUCCGGAUCGCAGUCUGCAACUCGACUGCGUGAAGUCGGAAUCGCUAGUAAUCGUGAAUCAGAAUGUCACGGUGAAUACGUUCCCGGGCCUU